rnacentral:rRNA from 1 species
GCAAGUCGAACGGAAACAGGACGCUGUAAUCUCUUCGGAGUGAACUUGUCGCUGUCGAGUGGCGGACGGGUGAAUAAUGCAUAGAAAUUUGCCUUGAAGUGGGGGAUAGCCCGGAGAAAUCCGGAUUAAUACCGCAUAUGCUCUACGGAGCAAAGUGGGCCUCUGAUUUAAGCUCAUGCUUUGAGAUAAGCCUAUGUCGGAUUAGCUUGUUGGUGGGGUAAAAGCCUACCAAGGCGACGAUCCGUAGCUGGUCUGAGAGGAUGAUC